UUCUGGUUGAUCCUGCCGGACCUGACUGCUAUCGGAUUGAUACUAAGCCAUGCGAGUCAUUGUAGCAAUACAAGGCAUACGGCUCAGUAACGCGUAGUCAACCUAACCUAUGGACGGGAAUAACCUCGGGAAACUGAGAAUAAUGCCCGAUAGAACAUUAUACCUGGAAUGGUUUAUGUUCCAAAUGAUUUAUCGCCAUAGGAUGGGACUGCGGCCUAUCAGUUUGUUGGUGAGGUAAUGGCCCACCAAGACUAUUACAGGUACGGGCUCUGAGAGGAGUAGCCCGGAGAUGGGUACUGAGACACGGACCCAGGCCCUAUGGGGCGCAGCAGGCGAGAAAACUUUGCAAUGUGCGAAAGCACGACAAGGUUAAUCCGAGUGAUUUCUGCUAAAGAAAUCUUUUGUUAGUCCUAGAAACACUAACGAAUAAGGGGUGGGCAAGUUCUGGUGUCAGCCGCCGCGGUAAAACCAGCACCUCAAGUGGUCAGGAGGAUUAUUGGGCCUAAAGCAUCCGUAGCCGGCUCUGUAAGUUU
rnacentral:rRNA from 1 species